UACCAGCACCCCCGAGUGGUCGGGACGAUUAUUGGGCCUAAAGCAUCCGUAGCCGGCCUUACAAGUCCUCCGUUAAAUCCAGCUGCUUAACAGAUGGGCUGCGGAGGAUACUAUAAGACUAGGAGGCAGGAGAGGCAAGCGGUACUCAGUGGGUAGGGGUAAAAUCCGUUGAUCCAUUGAAGACCACCAGUGGCGAAGGCGGCUUGCCAGAAUGCGCUCGACGGUGAGGGAUGAAAGCUGGGGGAGCAAACAGG
rnacentral:rRNA from 1 species